rnacentral:sRNA from 1 species
CACUGCUUUUUCUGUCUCUCUUCAUUUCUUUUCUCUUACAAUCUUUUUCAGUGCUCUCUUCUCCUCUCUCUUCUCAGGCUUGCACUGAGUCAUAUAACUGCAAGAUGUUACAGAUGACAUAGACUUUUCUUCACUCUUCUCUUUAUUUUUCUUUUCAGAAUAUUUCUUUUUUUUUUCUCUUUUUCUUUUGUCUAUUUUAUCUGUUUUUCUUCUAUUGUUAGAAGUGCAGACAGUUCUCAGAUCAACUGAGAGAGUUAUCUCUCUCUAUUCACUAUAAAAUCUUUCAGACACAGCAGUGACAGUUCUCUCAGAAAUCUCACUAUAGCUUUAUCAUGAAUAAUCAUAUA